CGUACCUAUACUUUUCCAGGGCCUGCAAAACAAACAAAAUGGUGGCAAGUGAAUGUUCAAAUGAUAGUUUAGAACCUAACUUUUAUCAAAUGGCAGUGAUGAGCAGUCAGAAGUUAAUUCCUUAACUACUAGUUUGAUUCAUGGCAUCUUCAUGUUGCCAUAAUAAACAAAUAUCAAUUUUGUAUUACAAAAAUCAGUUAGUGCUUGUGCAUAUUUUUCAAAGAAAAAAAAACUUACAUUUCUGAUUUUGUCAAUUAUCUUAUAAUAUUUUUGAAGAAAUAUUUCAUCCAAAUAUGAACUUCCAUACGAUCUAAAAUAAAACUCCAUAUAAUUUGUGUGCAUCAAAGAGAGAGAGGAAGAAUAGGAAAACUGUAGCAUUGCAUUCAACAGUAAUAUAUUCGUGUAAAUGUGGGCCUUCUGAAAUAUUUUUGAAUUGCAGAUCCAAAACUAGAAUAUUGCAACUACUAGUGUGAAAAAUAUUUCUGGAUGAUCCACAACACCAAUUAGAGGCACUACGUGCAGGGCAUCAGGGGGGGCUAACAUAUGCAUAUAUAAUAUAAAGUGCAUUCAGCAGAUGCCCAUGUACAAAAAUAGACAAAAUUACCUUCUGUUUAGAUAGGGUAUCUG
rnacentral:misc_RNA from 1 species